UGGCAAUCUGCAUUUUUUACUCUAUGCUUCAGGAUAAUUUUAUGUGCUUUAAUCUCAUCAACUUUAUUUAUUCCUUUUUCAGUAAUAUUGUACUGCUGCCUGGAGUCCGUGGCCCGCUGCACUGGCAUUUUCACUGAAGACUUAUUACUUCUGCAGACAUCUUCAAGGGAGUGAAUUUAAGGAAGGUAAUAUGGAGACAUGGUUAGGUUUUAUACCCUCUGCUCAUCAGGAUAAUGUAUAGAGACUUGCUGAACUGAGAUAUGAAGAUGGCCUAAUCAUCAAAUAUGGAUUCAGGUCUCCCCUGCUGAGCAGGACAGACAGACGGACUACGCAAGGCCCAACCCCUGUCCUUCCCGCAAACAGAGGCUGGAGAAACCACACGUCCCCUUUCCAGGAUGAAGCAAUUCAUAGGCAACCAGGAAGGAGGCAGACAGCCCAACUGUCUUCCCAUGAUACUGUUAAUAUGGACUGCACAUCUAAUUGCAAAAACAGAGAAUGAGGAAUUGCGGUGAGACUUGCUCCAUUGCAGAAACGUGCUAGAUCUACUGCCCUUGAAAACAGGUCACCACUUGUAUGGGAACUGCUGAGCACCUGGGGAAAGAACCUGGUCAGCCCUGGGAGCAAAGGUGAAGGAAAUUGGUUCCAGCUGUGGAACCAGGAGUGAAGCCUGGCUGCACCUCUCUUAGACCUCACUUAAGGGCUGACUGCCACUGAGAAAGGGUCUCUUUUCUGGAGGUUUCUCCUUGGUGAAGCUUUGCCCUGUCAAGCUCCAGAUACAGUACAGGUAAGCAGACUUCUUCCCUUCGUUUAUUGCACCUUUCUAUUGUGCCAAUCCAUGUCAUCACACCUUUCUUGUAAUACCUUUCCCAUUCUAUUGUUCUGUCCAGUUGCUACCAGUUGAAUGCGGUCUCAUUAAAAUCUCCACAUAUGAGUUCCUUUGCAGAGAUGUCUAGCAAGCUGGUGAUGGCAUCUGGAUCUAGACAGAUGUCUGUUAAGACCUAAGCUGGCACCACCAAUUUAUUUCACAUUGGCCACAAAAUAGCCAUCACCUUAUAAAGACUUUAAUUUAUUGCUAGUGACUAGUGAACCUCUGGAGGUUUGCUUGGGACAAAUACCGAUUCAGCUGCCAAACUUUAUCUGAACUAUCUGAACUUCUCAUGUAUAAAAAAAAAAUUGGGCCAAAAUGCUCAUCAGAUAAGGAUUUACUCUGUGAUUGACUGUAGUUAUUGCUUCCAGAAAGGCUAGCAUUACUGCCAUAACUGCAUUUUGUUUGGUAUUUGAUGUGUCCAGUUUUGCUGAGAACCUAUGAAAAA
rnacentral:lncRNA from 1 species